rnacentral:lncRNA from 7 species
AAAUGAGAGCCAAGAGGGUUGUGGCACUUGUGGUUUAUUUUAGAGGUGGUUUAUUCUCUGAAAAGAGAAAAAAAAAAAAAAAAAGAAAGAAACAGAAGAAAAAAAAAGAAAGAAAGAAAGAAACAUUCUGAAAUUUUCACAUGGAAUAGAGAUCUCGUCUGCGUCCUGCUGAGUUGCUUUAAAGAUGGAUUACCAUUUUGCAAAACCUCUCUGAACAAGAGAUGUAUUAUUCCCAUUUUGGAUGAGAGAAGUCAACGUGGGAUUGCUUCCCUGAGUUACCUGGAAAGUGUGACGCUGAAAGAGUAUUUCACCUCAAAGCUCCUGCAGCCCUUUCCACAGGAACAUUUCUUCUACCUAAGCAUUAAUUGUUUUCCUAAUCCCACUCUCCCUCCUAAUCCCAUUCUCCCCCAAAGGAGAAUAGCUAAAUGUAAAAGAAAGCAAGGUAAAACAGUUACAGGUGUCUAGAACGGCUCAGUACUUGUGCUGUAUUUGCCUGUAUAGUGCUCCUUCUGUCUUGCCCAUUUAGGCAAACAUUGUCUCUUUGUAUGCUCCCACACUUUGUGUUUAAUGAUACUGCCCUUAUGUCUUCUACCUCUGAUACAAGAUCCUGAAAAAAAAAAAAAAAAAAAAGUAUUUUUCAACUUGAAUGGAAUUCUUUUGUCCAGUCUAAAGUUGCGCUUCACUCCUCAGUGUUCCUUGCCUGCCAAAGGAAAAU